rnacentral:rRNA from 1 species
UACGGAGGGUGCAAGCGUUAUCCGGAUUCACUGGGUUUAAAGGGUGCGUAGGCGGGCAGGUAAGUCAGUGGUGAAAUCUCCGAGCUUAACUCGGAAACUGCCGUUGAUACUAUUUGUCUUGAAUACUGUGGAGGUAAGCGGAAUAUGUCAUGUAGCGGUGAAAUGCUUAGAUAUGACAUAGAACACCAAUUGCGAAGGCAGCUUACUACGCAGUUAUUGACGCUGAGGCACGAAAGCGUGGGGAUCAAACAGG